AUUCAUUUGGUUGAGUUAAUGUUACGUCCCAAAUUUUUUUUCUUUUUGUAUGACUAAACAUAAAAUGAGUUACUAGUCUAAUUGUUAAGUAUGAGUGAAACUGUCUUUGAAAUCCAAGUUUGAAUCCCUUCCCUUACAUUUUUUUUUAUAAAUUUCGGCAUUUUUCUUGUUUUUAACUCUAUUGUCGCCCUUAGGGUUUAAAAACCCUAAUAUUUAAACAUCUUUUUCUAAUUUGUGUGUUCAAAUUGCCUCCUUUCAAACCCUAACAUAUUUUUCUCUCUUGUAAUUCUAUCUCUACUCUUUCUUUCUCUGCUCCCCUUGUGUCACCCCUCAUCUUGCCUUCUACCAAUUUUUUUCCUACUUCUUCUUGUUUGUGUCACCGAUUCUCCUCCAUUGUUACUGCUUGCACCACCUUGCACCAUCGCCACCCUAUUUUCCAUCACUGCCAUUGCCAUUAUUUUUUUCUCCUCCUCUCUUUUCGUCUUUAUUCCUUUCAUUGUGGCUAGAUCUCUACUUAGUUUUCUUUAUUUUUAUUCCUCUAUAGUCAAAUCUCCCUUUGCUUUUACCAUCUUUUUGGCUGAAUAUCCUUUGACUGCCAAGAUCUCCACUGAUUGUUCAUUCCUGAUUUGGUUAUUGGUGUAGAGCCCAGAUCUGGACUACUCAGAUCAUCUUUAGUAAUUGAGGCUAACCACAUCCUCCAUUCUGAAUCAGUAGAAAGUGCGCAGAUCUGGAUGCGUUAGACCAUAUCUGAUCUCUAGGAGUGUUGUUGUUUCAUAUCUGUAAAUCGAAGAAAAGAAUUUGGAUGAGAUUUGAUUAGAUCUGUAGUGAAUGAGUGUAGCAAGUUAGAUCUAGUGUUGUUUAGACAUAUGGAUUAAAGUGUGGGUUCUAACAAAAUGUAAUAUGCAUAAGUCUUGUCCAUAAGUAUUUUAUCUGUGAUUGGUAGUAUCAGUAUGAAUCUAUGCCUUAAUUGUUACUAACCAAAGGCAUGAGUGCCUUUGGUGUUAGCCUAAUGGGAUUUGAGCCUUUUACUAAGGUUGGCCAAA